CCUACGGGAGGCAGCAGUGAGGAAUAUUGGUCAAUGGACGAGAGUCUGAACCAGCCAAGUAGCGUGAAGGAUGACUGCCCUAUGGGUUGUAAACUUCUUUUAUAUGGGAAUAAAACGCUCCACGUGUGGGAUUUUGUAUGUACCAUAUGAAUAAGGAUCGGCUAACUCCGUGCCAGCAGCCGCGGUAAUACGGAGGAUCCGAGCGUUAUCCGGAUUUAUUGGGUUUAAAGGGAGCGUAGGUGGAUUGUUAAGUCAGUUGUGAAAGUUUGCGGCUCAACCGUAAAAUUGCAGUUGAAACUGGCAGUCUUGAGUACAGUAGAGGUAGGCGGAAUUCGUGGUGUAGCGGUGAAAUGCUUAGAUAUCACGAAGAACUCCGAUUGCGAAGGCAGUUCACUGGACUGCAACUGACACUGAGGCUCGAAAGAGUGGGUAUCAAACAGGAUUAGAUACCCGAGUAGUC
rnacentral:rRNA from 1 species